rnacentral:rRNA from 1 species
UACGUAGGGUGCGAGCGUUGUCCGGAAUUAUUGGGCGUAAAGAGCUCGUAGGCGGUGUGUCACGUCGGCCGUGAAAACCUGGGGCUUAACUCUGGGCGUGCGGUCGAUACGGGCAUCACUAGAGUUCGGCAGGGGAGACUGGAAUUCCUGGUGUAGCGGUGAAAUGCGCAGAUAUCAGGAGGAACACCGGUGGCGAAGGCGGGUCUCUGGGCCGAUACUGACGCUGAUGCGCGAAAGCGUGGGGAGCAAACAGG